rnacentral:rRNA from 1 species
GAUGAACGCUGACAGAAUGCUUAACACAUGCAAGUCAAUGGGGAAACGGUGCUUGCACCGUGAUAACCAUGGCGGACGGGUGAGUAACGCGUAAAGAACUUGCCUCUUAGUCUGGGAUAACAGAUGGAAACGACUGAUAAAACUAGAUAUUAUUAAAGUUUCGCAUGAAGCUUUAAUGAAAAGAGAUGCUAAGAGAGAGCUUUGCGUCCUAUUAGUUAGUUGGUGAGGUAACGGCUCACCAAGACGAAGAUAGGUAGCCGGUCUGAGAGGAUGAACGGCCACAAGGGGACUGAGAUACGGCCCUUACUCUUACGGGAGGCAGCAGUGGGGAAUAUUGGACAAUGGAGGAGACUCUGAUCCAGCAAUUCUGUGUGCACGAAGACGGUUUUCGGAUUGUAAAGUGCUUUCAGCAGGGAAGAAGAAAGUGACGGUACCUGCAGAAGAAGCGACGGCUAAAUACGUGCCAGCAGCCGCGGUAAUACGUAUGUCGCAAGCGUUAUCCGGAAUUAUUGGGCAUAAAGGGCAUCUAGGCGGAUAUACAAGUCAGGGGUGAAAACUUAGGGCUCAACUCAAAGCUUGCCUUUGAAACUGUAUAUCUAGAGUGCUGGAGAGGUGGACGGAACUACACGAGUAGAGGUGAAAUUCGUAGAUAUGUGUAGGAAUGCCGAUGAUGAAGAUAGUCCACUGGACAGCAACUGACGCUGAAGUGCGAAAGCUAGGGGAGCAAACAGG